AAGAAAUAGCAUACAUAUCACUUCUGUAGUGCUUUGGACUUUUAUAAAUGAUCUGUUACUACGUGAAAAAGAGUGAUACUGUAUAUUUUUAAAAUGUAUUCUUUUGUGUUCCACAGAAAGAAAAAAAACAGCAUUCAGGUUCGGAGGAGGGCGAGUAAAUAAUGAGCUAUUCCUUUAAGCCGAAACAGAGGAGGAGAGAGAGGGAUGAAUACAGAGGAGUCUAACCCUUCUGUUUAUUCGCUGCCGUUAGGUCUGCGCGUGUGCUUUACUCCCAUCACUCCCUCUCUUUCCCAUUGGCUGCUUCCCUCUCCCACACACAGACAGACACACACACACACGCAUGCACUGGCUCUGAGCUCAGACACCAGAGUUGACGUUCUCGAGCGGAGGUCGAGAGAGGGACAGAUGGGAUCCGCACACACACCGGAAAGAAGCACCGUGCAGCACUGAUCACGACCGACACACCGAGAAGAGAGGACAGCGAGACGGAGGAAAGAUGUUACAGGACGAACAGGACGGGAUUGAGAAACCUGAGCAUCGCAGAAGCUUCCUGAAGACGACAGCGAGAUCUCUUUUUAGUUUCCUGCUCUUCUGAAAAGGACAGUUUCAUCUCAUGCACUCGGAUCGAACUGGGAAGUUUCUGAUGUUCCAGUUCUGUACCUGCCUGAAGAAAAUGAUGAGGUGAAAGACACAAGCAAAGAAACUCAAGGACAAACAGAGAGAUAAAAGUCAGCUUGAAGAGAUGCAUUGCCUAGUCCUGGACUGUCAAGAUAUGCUACACCAGAGAGGAUUGUGCACACAAGCUUUGAGUUGGAAAGUAGGGCAAUAAAGGUGUCGGGACAUCCUCUCACUGGUCAUCCUGAAAACUGUAUUCCAUUAACAUUUUAUUUGCCUUGAUAUUUUUAGGACAAGCAUGGUUACAACUGCUGUGGACGUACACGGUGAGAGUUAUGUGACAUAAGAUUUUGCUCUUGGCUAUGAAACCAUGAUGCAGACCUCUGGGACAUACUCGCAAGCCUACCCUGCCAAAAUUUCAUGUUCUUCAGGACUUGCGCAAAGGAAGUAUAAACAAGGUUGCUCAUUGAUCGUUUAAGUGCCCCUGUGGACUAAUGGGGCUGAAGCUCAGGAUACACCCAGUCCCUCUUUUGGAUAUAAAGACACUUGCUUGUAAAGAUUCUUCGUGCCAAAACCAGAACCUACUCUGACAGCAUUACCACAAAGACUUACACAGAAACCCUCAGUCAUGUGACCUGAGGAAAGGACCAGUCACAUGCUCUGCUGCCGUCGGCUGGUCUGUUUUAUUUUAUUUUUUUUGUUACUGCAGCGUUUCUCAUGUUCAGAGUUUGCCAAAUGUCAAAAAUACUGUGUGCUGUAACUGAAUUUUGUAUCUAAUUAAUUGUUCAUUCACAUUUGACUUGUGAAAGCAGACGAAAAAAACCCACACAGUCAAAUUUUUAUUAACAUCUAUGGUCCAUAAACUACUCUUGGAUAACAUGGUGAGCAAAGAGCCCAACCAUUUGCCAACUAUUCACAGCCACAGCAAUGGCAACCCAGACAAAACACCCACCACCGUGACUGUGCGCUCAGUGCUCCUUAAUCGGAACUCUCCAGAUAUUGAAAGCAGACUUAAACGGAGACGAAAUCGCACACAGCAGGUACGAUUUAAAGAUUUGGAGGAUGACGAUAAGUCCAAGGAUAAAACUGAGAAAGCAAGAAGUAAAAGUCCAACAGAGGUUCCAAACUGGCAGAAAGAGUUGACAAACGGGCCCUCACUGGUAGGGGCAGUCCGUGGGGACAUGGAAAAGACAAUUGGAGCAGUGACAGCAUUUUUGAAGAGAGCGCCACCGCACCCUCUUACCCCUGGGCCUACAAGACGCUGCUGGGUCCCAACACAUCCAUGUUCGCUCACACUGCCUCUGCCAACUCAGCCAUGCAGGAGUACAGCCAUCCAAACCUCACCCAGUUUGCAGAAGCCUCCCUUGCUCUCUGCCACGCAGACUCGCAGUCAAAGCCUGGGAGGAGCCUGGGAUGAUGGAGACUCCUCAGAUGAGCUGACCACACAGGUCUACGUUCCACCUUGUAGAUCACAGAAGAGCUCUGUCCAACCUUGUACCCCUGCUGAGCAAUCAAGGUGCCAGAAAACUGAGGACAAUCAAACUGCCUCUGCGGGUACAUCAACACAAUUUCAGCCAUGUUCUGCAGCGCCACAAAAACAGUCUAGAAGGAGAGGUAGGAGGAAAUCUUUAAACAGAGCAGCAAGUGAUCCUGGGAAACCUGAGCCUUCUUGUACUUCUCCAACUAAAACUGUGCACAGGAGCCACCAACAGUCUAACCAACUAAAGAAGCUUCCAUCCAAAGUUGUGGCACACAGAACUACAUCAGAUAUUGUGCCACCGCAGAAUUCUCCUAAACCAAACACAGGUCAUAAUACGCCAUGUAGUGUCUCUUCAACAAAGGCUGAAUCAAGCAGUGAUUCAAAAAUCCAGACUGUGCCAGAUAACACCAGUUCCGAGGUAGACCCUGCAUCUUGUCCCUCUCACAUUGUACCCCCUCCAUCAACCACAUGUCCUAAAGAAGCGUCACAACGUUGCCCACUGCAGGCUGCUACGGAGAACGUCACUUUGACCCCCACUGUACCAGAUCCUACCACAGCACAAGUCAUAUGCACUGUCACCACAUCCUCAACACAUGGGCAAUCGUGCAUGUCUCCUGUUGAGUCUAGAGGGCGUUGUUGCACACCUGGUAUUCAGAAGACUCCUCCAGUGCCCGAGUCCCAAUGCAUUCCAGAUUCACAUACAGAUUCCACAACUCCUGCUCAAUCUGCGCCUUGUUUCCAGAUGUUGGAGGAAACCAUUCCAUGCUCCAACACAGCUGGCUCCAAGGCAGCAUCCUGUUCUCAAGGAGCACCUGCAGUUGCCUCUAUAUUCAGUUCCACACAGCAAUGCCAGAAGACAACACAACCCAUGGCAUGUGGUAACACCUCAAAUCAAUCUGUGUACUCUGUGAUAACUCCAACACAACCUGUAACUCCCAUUCAGUCUGUGCCAAGAUGUAUGAGUCCUAAACAGAAUGAGCCAUUGGGUAGGACCUCUACCCUUCCUGUACAAACUCCUAUAUCAGCCACACAGACUCCAGCACCUGUUCAGCCUUCAACAUCUUGUAAAAUUCCAAUGCAGUCUAUACCAUGCUGUGUCAAAGACAAACCAGCAACCUUUGGCUCUCCCACGCAACCUAUGGCAUCUCAUAAGAUUCUUACACAAACCCUCCCUCACAAUUUGGUGCCAUUUUCUCCCGAGCCAUCCUGUGCCGCUACCCCUCACUCCGCUUCACACUUUAAGGGCCCCGUUGCAGUUCCAGCACACGCCAUUCCUGUUGCACAAAAUGCACUACAUUGCAUUUUGGAUCAACAGAAUGUGGCAACCCAUGUCACUCCCUCCAUCCCAGUUCUAAUUUGUAGCCCUUCCACACAACCUGCACCAGGUAAACUUUCUGUCCAAGCAUUGCCACACUGCAACACUAGUAUACAAAACGCAGUGUCUUGCAGUAAUCCCUCUCAAAUCGUGCAACACUUUAAGACUCCUACUCAAUCAGUAUCGCAUUCCAAAUCAUUUCCACAAAACAUGUCACCUGUUCUCUGUCCACGUGAGGCAAUGAUGUAUGCUAACAAACCCCAGGAAACUGUGCUUCCCUCUGCUAAUUUCCGGCAUUCUUUACCUCCUUACGCCUGCCCUCCACAGACUACUCUGCUGUACUCUAAUGCUGGGGCGAGCCCCUCCCCUCCUCAGGCCUUCUGCUGCACUCAGGACAGACGAGAAAGGAGAGAGUUCAUGCUUCCUCCCCCUCCACCUCCUCCUCCUCCGUACACUCCUCGCAAAGAGGGCUCCUCUACUCCUGGACAGCCCCGUAAGCCUCCUGUCCCCAAAGCUGAGAGCAACAACGCCGAAAAGGACAGAGUGAAAACUGGGGUAGUGAAGCCAAAUGCUGAAGCAGGAACUCACUAUCAGGCGGGUGAAACGCCACCUCCUAUCCCUCCCAAAACUAAGGCAAGAGCUACAGUGAGGCCCACCUGUUUAGGUGGCCGACGGGCGAUUCUCGGCCCAGAAUCCCAGGCCAGUGCAAACCACUUGCCUCCUGCCGGUGGGACAAAUCCCCAGGCCCCCCUUGGACCAGCGGAAGGCCAAGCGGACACUCUGCGACAGGUGCAGGAGCUACUGGGGGGGCUUAUGUCUGGGGCUAAGUGUAAGCUGGACCUGGCAAAGGCAAAAGAGAAACUGUUUGGCCCAAACGGCCCUCUGUACGACAUUGGGGCUCUGCAGUCUCAGCUGCAUAGCCUGGAAGGGGUGUUGGAGACCAGCCAGAACACCAUCAAGGUUUUACUGGACGUCAUUCAGGAUCUGGAGAAGAAGGAGGCAGAGAGAGAUGGCUGAUGUCACCAAGCCCUCUUAUUUUUCAUCCCCUUCCCUCCAUCUGCAUGACUCCAUUCUGGCUAAUCGGAGUAGGCGUUGUCCAUAAGGCCUCGUCCAGGACCAGUCUCCUCAACCCCAGCCCUAAUGUAAUCGCGAGGAGGAAACUGAUCAGGGAUCAGAGGAUUCAGGGUUAUUUUACAUCAACACAGAUGGCGGUGGGUGACGAGGCUGGAGUGUGGCUCAUUCCAUCCACGUCAGAGCCCAGAGAACACAAACAAGGCCGUGGAUCAGCCGGGCUCCUGAUAUCUCUAAGCUCGGGCUUACGCAGCCAUCGGAGGUCUGGAGCGGCCAACUCAACAGAUUGGAUAAUCAGACGCUGCUGCUGUCAGAUGUAAUCGAGCACAAAUAAGACACUCAUACCGAACGGGACAGGACAUUGAGAACUGUGGCACAUGCAGAGACUGCGCCUGUAUUAUAUACAGUGUGGAGCAUGACUUCCGUCUUCAGGAAGGUCAGGUGACGCGAGCGU